rnacentral:lncRNA from 1 species
GGCUGCACUGACUGCAUCUGCACACAGCUGUGACCUCCUUCAUUCUCCAAGGUCUAAGAAAUUCAGCUAGAGACACUCAUAAAAAAGUCUGUUCAAAGUCCUGCAUCUGUUAGUGAGGAGAGAAAUGGAGUGUGCAUUGCUGUGGAGGAAGGCAGGCUUUGAAAUCUGACUGACUGAAUAGUUCAGUGCGAGAACAUCCAUCUGCCUCUGAAAGAGCCAUAAAUAGUGAUGAUGACAGUGAUGGAAACUGAGCUGCAUAACUUGGUAGGAAGAACAGAUCUAAAUGCAGUCUACGUAGGAAGGUUGAAAACUGAGGCAUGUGCUACAACCUACCUCCAAAACACUCACUGCUGAUCGUUAGGAAAUACAGUUUGGAACCAUGCUGAACUGGAUAAUACCUCAGCAGGUCCAAAGGUGGAUGGAGACCAAAGGCACUGUUAGACCCAAGUUGCUCUUAUUGCAAUUUGCCAUGAAGAUGGAAGUCUUCCAGAGUAAACUUCUUUCCAGACUAACAACAGACAUUGCAGAAAUUGGUGGAGGAAGAAAGGAAAACAUAGAAACAAUGUCAUAG